CCUACGGGCGGCAGCAGUGAGGAAUAUUGGUCAAUGGACGCGAGCCUGAACCAGCCAAGUCGCGUGAGGGAAGACUGCCCUAUGGGUUGUAAACUUCUUUUAUCAAGGAAUAAAACGAGGCACGUGUGCCUUUUUGCAUGUACUUUAUGAAUAAGGAUCGGCUAACUCCGUGCCAGCAGCCGCGGUAAUACGGAGGAUCCGAGCGUUAUCCGGAUUUAUUGGGUUUAAAGGGAGCGUAGGUGGGUUGUUAAGUCAGUUGUGAAAGUUUGCGGCUCAACCCUAAAAUUGCCAUUGAUACUGGCAGUCUUGAGUACAGUAGAGGUAGGCGGAAUGCGUGGGGUAGCGGUGAAAUGCUUAGAUAUCACGAAGAACCCCGAUUGCGAAGGCAGCUUACUAAACUGUGACUGACAUUGAUGCUCGAAAGUGUGGGUAUCAAACAGGAUUAGAUACCCGAGUAGUC
rnacentral:rRNA from 1 species